rnacentral:rRNA from 1 species
GACGAACGCUGGCGGCGUGCUUAACACAUGCAAGUCGAACGGAAAGGCCCUGCUUUUGUGGGGUGCUCGAGUGGCGAACGGGUGAGUAACACGUGAGUAACCUGCCCUUGACUUUGGGAUAACUUCAGGAAACUGGGGCUAAUACCGGAUAGGAGCUCCUGCUGCAUGGUGGGGGUUGGAAAGUUUCGGCGGUUGGGGAUGGACUCGCGGCUUAUCAGCUUGUUGGUGGGGUAGUGGCUUACCAAGGCUUUGACGGGUAGCCGGCCUGAGAGGGUGACCGGGCACAAUGGGACUGAGAGACGGCCCAGAGUCCUACGGGGGGCAGGAGUGGGGAAUAUUGCACAAUGGGCGGAAGCCUGAUGCAGCAACGCCGCGUGCGGGAUGACGGCCUUCGGGUUGUAAACCGCUUUCGCCUGUGACGAAGCGUGAGUGACGGUAAUGGGUAAAGAAGCACCGGCUAACUACGUG